AGCGAUUAUCCUGACUUUUCCGA
rnacentral:siRNA from 1 species